rnacentral:rRNA from 1 species
UACGGAGGGUGCAAGCGUUAAUCGGAAUUACUGGGCGUAAAGGGUGCGUAGGUGGUUUAGUAAGAUAGCUGUGAAAAGCCUGGGCUCAACCUGGGUCUGUCAGCUGUGACUGUUAAACUAGAGUAUAGGAGAGGGUAGUGGAAUUUCCGGUGUAGCGGUGAAAUGCGUAGAGAUCGGAAGGAACACCAGUGGCGAAGGCGGCUACCUGGCCGGAUACUGACACUGAAGCACGAAAGCGUGGGGAGCAAACAGGAUUAGAUACCCUGGUAGUCCACGCUGUAAACGAUGUCAACUAGCUGUUGGUCAUAUGAAGAUGAUUAGUGGCGCAGCAAACGCGAUAAGUUGACCGCCUGGGGAGUACGGUCGCAAGAUUAAA